rnacentral:rRNA from 1 species
AGGAAUCUGCCUGGUAGUGGGGGACAACGUUUCGAAAGGAACGCUAAUACCGCAUACGUCCUACGGGAGAAAGCAGGGGACCUUCGGGCCUUGCGCUAUCAGAUGAGCCUAGGUCGGAUUAGCUAGUUGGUGGGGUAAUGGCUCACCAAGGCGACGAUCCGUAACUGGUCUGAGAGGAUGAUCAGUCACACUGGAACUGAGACACGGUCCAGACUCCUACGGGAGGCAGCAGUGGGGAAUAUUGGACAAUGGGCGAAAGCCUGAUCCAGCCAUGCCGCGUGUGUGAAGAAGGUCUUCGGAUUGUAAAGCACUUUAAGUUGGGAGGAAGGGCAGUAAGCGAAUACCUUGCUGUUUUGACGUUACCGACAGAAUAAGCACCGGCUAACUCUGUGCCAGCAGCCGCGGUAAUACAGAGGGUGCAAGCGUUAAUCAGAAUUACUGGGCGUAAAGCGCGCGUAGGUGGUUUGUUAAGUUGGAUGUGAAAGCCCCGGGCUCAACCUGGGAACUGCAUCCAAAACUGGCAAGCUAGAGUACAGUAGAGGGUGGUGGAAUUUCCCGU